rnacentral:rRNA from 1 species
UUCUAUUAGAUAUAAUUCAUAGUAAAAUCUGCUCAAUGAAAAUUAAAUAGCCGCAAUAAGUGCUAAGGUAGUAUAAUAAUUUGUCUUUUAAUUAAAGACCAAAAUAAAAGAUUAAACAUUUAAAAUUCUUUCUUAAUUUAACUCACUGAAUUUUUCCUAAAUGUAAAAAGACAUUUAUUUAUCAGAAAGACGACAAGACCCUAUUGAAUUUAACUUAAGUUUAACUGGGGAAGUUAAUCAAUUAACACUUUUAUAAAAAUAUAAUCAAAAAAGAUCUUUUAAAAUUAACUUAACGAUUAAAUUACCACAGGGAUAACAGCGCCAUUAACUUUUAAAGACCACACAUAUUAAAAAUAAAUUACGACCUCGAUGUUGAAUAAUUCCCCUAAUUAACGCAAUAGUUAAAUAAGGAAGUCUGUUCGACUUUCCAAUCAUUACA